UUGAUUUGGCUCAGAACAAAAGCAUUCUAUCUGUCUAUAAAUGAUGCACCAAUUUUGACUAAGCAAGCACUACCUUGAUAAUGCACAUUAAAUUCCCUCUUCUAAAAUUCAUGGUUUUUCUACUUUGGCAGUGUGCGCAGAGAGAUUCAGUCUCUGUCAGGGAAAGGAGAGGGUACUCAGUGAACCCUCUUGAAGUGGCUUGCAAAAUCUGUCUGUGCAUAUGUGUGUAUUUCUUAGAAGAAAAGUUCCCAGCUGUCAAAGAGGUCUCCAACCCAAGGAAGGGUGUGGCUGAACGAAAGCACUGCCCCAGGAAGCUGAGCCCCGAGACUCUGGGCACCAGAACUGAAGCUGAGAAUCUCUCCGACCCCUACACUUAAGGUAACCGUACAGAAUAUUCAAAGCUCGAGUUCAGCCAGGCUAAGUUACAAGAAAACUGAACCCAUUCUCCAUCCCAUCCUAGAAUAGAAGGGGCUACAGCAGUGCGUGGAAUGCUCAAGAGACCACUGAAGGCUGGGACCAAGUCCCUGAGUGAGUGGAGCUGACUGCUGGAGCACAUUCUGAGCAGAGUCUUGGCCAAUGGCUCCUGCUUCCCUACUAGCCCCAGGGCUGCGCCGAACUAAGUAAGCACCAUGUCAGAGCACUGCA